AGGGGACGUGGAUAACCUCGGGAAACUGAGGAUAAACCGCGAUAGGUCACUACUUCUGGAAUGGGUAAUGACCCAAACCUACAUGGCCCCUGGAUUGGACUGCGGCCGAUCAGGCUGUUGGUGAGGUAAUGGCCCACCAAACCUGUAACCGGUACGGGCUCUGAGAGGAGGAGCCCGGAGAUGGGCACUGAGACAAGGGCCCAGGCCCUAUGGGGCGCAGCAGGCGCGAAACCUCUGCAAUAGGCGAAAGCUUGGCAGGGUUACUCUGAGUGAUUUCCGUUAAGGAGAUCUUUUGGCACCUCUAAAAAUGGUGCAGAAUAAGGGGUGGGCAAGUCUGGUGUCAGCCGCCGCGGUAAUACCAGCACCCCGAGUGGUCGGGACGUUUAUUGGGCCUAAAGCAUCCGUAGCCGGUUCUACAAGUCUUCCGUUAAAUCCACCUGCUUAACAGAUGGGCUGCGGAAGAUACUAUGGAGCUAGGAGGCGGGAGAGGCAAGCGGUACUCGAUGGGUAGGGGUAAAAUCCGUUGAUCCAUUGAAGACCACCAGUGGCGAAGGCGGCUUGCCAGAACGCGCUCGACGGUGAGGGAUGAAAGCUGGGGGAGCAAACCGGAUUAGAUACCCGGGUAGUCCCAGCUGUAAACGAUGCAGACUCGGUGAUGAGUUGGCUUCAUGCCAACUCAGUGC
rnacentral:rRNA from 1 species